rnacentral:rRNA from 1 species
GACGAACGCUGGCGGCGUGCCUAAUACAUGCAAGUCGAGCGAAUCAAUGGGAGCUUGCUCCCUGAGAUUAGCGGCGGACGGGUGAGUAACACGUGGGUAACCUGCCUGUAAGACUGGGAUAACUUCGGGAAACCGGAGCUAAUACCGGAUACGUUCUUUUCUCGCAUGAGAAGAGAUGGAAAGAUGGUUCUGCUAUCACUUACAGAUGGACCCGCGGCGCAUUAGCUAGUUGGUGAGGUAACGGCUCACCAAGGCGACGAUGCGUAGCCGACCUGAGAGGGUGAUCGGCCACACGGGGACUGAGACACGGCCCAGACUCCGACGGGAGGCAGCAGUAGGGAAUCUUCCGCAAUGGACGAAAGUCUGACGGAGCAACGCCGCGUGAGCGAAGAAGGCCUUCGGGUCGUAAAGCUCUGUUGUUAGGGAAGAACAAGUACGAGAGUAACUGCUCGUACCUUGACGGUACCUAACCAGAAAGCCACGGCUAACUACGUGCCAGCAGCCGCCGUAA